rnacentral:rRNA from 1 species
AACGUAGGACGCAAGCGUUAUCCGGAGUUACUGGGCGUAAAGCGCGGGCAGGCGGUCUUGCCAGUCUGAUGUGAAAUCUCUCAGCUCAACUGGGAGCAGCCAUUGGAAACUACAAGACUGGAGUCUGGCAGAGGUAGGCGGAAUUCCGGGUGGAGUGGUGAAAUGCGUAGAGAUCCGGAAGAACACCAGUGGCGAAGGCGGCUCACUGGCCCGGUACUGACGCUGAGGCGCGAAAGCGUGGGGAGCAAACAGG